rnacentral:lncRNA from 1 species
UCUUAUCUCAGACCCUACUUGGGUUUCUGGGGAAUUUCUUUCUUCUUUACCAUUAUAGUUUCCUUUAUUUCACCAGGUGCACAUUAAGGUCCACGGAUUUUAUUCUCAAGUACCUAACUGUAGCCAACUUCUUGAUCACCCUCCCUAAAAGAGUCCCACAGCAGACUGUGGCCACGUUGGGGGUGAAAUAUUUCCUCAGUGAUAUUGGGUGCAAACUUGUUUAUGUUCACAGAGUGGUCAGGGGUGUGUCCAUUGGUACAACCUGACUACUGAGUAUCUUCUAGGCCAUGAUGAUUAGCCCCAUGAACUUGAGAUUGGCAGAGUUGAAACUACAAGCUCCCAAGUACAUUGGGUCCUCCAAAAUACUGUGCUGGAUUGUGAAUAUACCGGUAAAUAUUACUUUUUCUAUAAAUAUGACUGGGAAGUGAAAUGGCAAAAACAACACAAAGAAAAAGGAUGUGGGAUACUGCUCUGCAGUAGUUAACAAAUUUACAGGAUUACUGCAUAUAACAUUGUCAUCAUCCUAUGAUGUUUUGUGUUUUUGCCUCAUGGCCUGGGCUAGUCAGUGACUCCAUGGUGUUGAUCCUGUAGAGGCACAAGCAGCGGGUCGAACAAACUUAUAGGACCAACCUCUCUCCCAGCCCCUCCCCUGAGUCCAGAGUCACUCAAAGCAUUCUUGUCCUAGUGAGCACCUUUCUAUUGUUUCAUAUUGUCUUCUCCAUCUCAUCGUUAUUUUUUACCAUUUUACCUAACUCCAGUUGGUGGCUGGUGAACACCUCUGCCCUGAUUACUACUUGUUUUGCUACAGUUAGCUUCUUUAUUCUCAUGAGCCAUGACCGCAGCAUGU